GAAUGCUGACAUAAGUAACGAUAAAGCGGGUGAAAAGCCCGCUCGCCGGAAGACCAAGGGUUCCUGUCCAACGUUAAUCGGGGCAGGGUGAGUCGACCCCUAAGGCGAGGCCGAAAGGCGUAGUCGAUGGGAAACGGGUUAAUAUUCCCGUACUUGGUGUUACUGCGAAGGGGGGACGGAGAAGGCUAUGUUGGCCGGGCGACGGUUGUCCCGGUUUAAGCGUGUAGGUGUGUGUUCCAGGUAAAUCCGGUUCACUUUAACACUGAGGCGUGACGACGAGGCACUACGGUGCUGAAGCAACAAAUGCCCUGCUUCCAGGAAAAGCCUCUAAGCAUCAGGUAACA
rnacentral:rRNA from 1 species